AAUUAAACCACCAAUUGUUCGCCAAACAACUACGAGUAAUACUUAAAACUUAAAAGACUUGACGGUGCUUCAUCACAACCUAGAGGAGCCUGUCUAACAACCGACAACCCACGAUUAACCCAACCCUUUCUUGCCAACAGUCUAUAUACCGCCGUCGCCAGCUUACCUUGUAAAGGAAUUAUAGUGAGCUAAAUAGUACUACACUAAAACGACAGGUCGAGGUGUAACCAAUGAAAGGGAUCAAGAUGGGCUACAUUCUCCUGACCUGAGAAUACGAAUAACACUACGAAAAUUAGUGCUUGAAGGCGGAUUUAGCAGUAAGAUAAGAAUAAAACACUUAACUGAACAUAUAGCAAUGAAGUGCGUACACACCGCCCGUCAUCCCUGUCAAACAG
rnacentral:rRNA from 1 species